rnacentral:rRNA from 1 species
UACCCGCAGCUCAAGUGGUGGUCAUUAUUAUUGGGCCUAAAGCGUCCGUAGCUGGCCUGUUAGAUGCCUGGGUAAAUCGAUGCGCUCAACGUAUCGAAUUCCGGGUAGACCGGCAGGCUCGAGACCGGGAGAGGUGUAGGCUACUCGAGGGGUAGGGGUAAAAGUCCUGUAAUCCUCGGGGAGGACCAGUGGCGAAGGCGCUACACUAGAACGGCUCUGACAGUGAGGGACGAAGCCCUGGGGCGCAACCGGG